rnacentral:rRNA from 1 species
CCUACGGGUGGCUGCAGUGAGGAAUAUUGGUCAAUGGCCGGAAGGCUGAACCAGCCAAGUCGCGUGAGGGAAUAAGGCCCUAUGGGUCGUAAACCUCUUUUGUCAGGGAGCAAAGGCGUCCACGUGUGGACGAGAGGAGAGUACCUGAAGAAAAAGCAUCGGCUAACUCCGUGCCAGCAGCCGCGGUAAUACGGAGGAUGCGAGCGUUAUCCGGAUUUAUUGGGUUUAAAGGGUGCGUAGGUUGUUUUAUAAGUUAGCGGUGAAAUACCGAUGCUCAACAUCGGGGCUGCCGCUAAUACUGUAGGACUAGAGAUCGGAUGCAGCAGGCGGAAUGUGUAGUGUAGCGGUGAAAUGCAUAGAUAUUACACAGAACACCGAUUGCGAAGGCAGCUUGCUAGGCCGGAUCUGACACUGAUGCACGAAAGCGUGGGGAUCGAACAGGAUUAGAUACCCUGGUAGUC